GAUAAAAGCAUUCUAUUUUGAUUUGAACCAAACAUUUUAUAAAAAAAAAAAAAAAAAAAUUACCUGACAAUGCUACUCCCGCUACUAGCAAUAUGAUGCUCUCAUGUACAAGGAUUUGUCAAAGAAGUAUUACCUCUAUGUACAAUGUAAGUAAUAGGGAGAUAAAAGCACUCUAUUUCGACUUGAACCAAACAUUAUACAAAUUUUUAAAAAAGACCAAAUUUACCCGACAAUGCUACUCCCGCCACUAGCAAUAUGAUGCUAGGUUGUUUUAAUACAUCUGUACUGCCUGCUGAUGACUCGGUCCUGAGUGUAAAUGGUCCUUCAAUUAUUUUUAAAAAAAUUAUAAGGCCUAUCUAGUCUAAUUGAUUUCUAAAACUAUAUUUCAUUGUACAUGUUCGACAUUUUUAUACAACCAC
rnacentral:lncRNA from 1 species